UGAAUGGAAAAACGGAAAGUAACUAUCUGAACCAAGUUUUUUAAAAAUUACUCAAUUGAGUGAAAAGUCUCAUAUAAAGAAAAUAGACGAGAAGACCCUAGAAAUUUUUAUAUAUGUUUUUAUAUUUAUUAUUCUAUUUUGUUGGGGCGACAUAGUAACAAUUAACUUACUGUAUAUAAUAUGCUAUUUAUUAGUCGAAAGAAUAAAUUACUCUAGGGAUAACAGCAUAAUUCACUUAUGAGUUUGUGACCUCGAUGUUGGACUAGGAAAUAUUUUACUUAGAAGGUAAAAUUAUCGGCUCUGUUCGAGCUUUAACUCCUACAUGAUCUGAGUUCAAACCGGAGCUCCA
rnacentral:rRNA from 1 species